rnacentral:rRNA from 1 species
CUAGCGGAAGGCCUAACACAUGCAAGUCGAACGGUAAGGUCUCUUCGGAGAUACACGAGUGGCGCACGGGUGAGUAACGCGUAUGCAACCUACCUUUAACAGGGGUAUAGCUUUCGGAAACGGAAAUUAAUCCCCCAUAGUACUUAGAUAUCGCAUGGUAUUUGAGUUAAAGCUUCGGCGGUUAAAGAUGGGCAUGCGUGGCAUUAGAUAGUUGGUGAGGUAACGGCUCACCAAGUCAGCGAUGCCUAGGGGGUCUGAGAGGAUGGUCCCCCACACUGGUACUGAGACACGGACCAGACUCCUACGGGAGGCAGCAGUGAGGAAUAUUGGGCAAUGGACGCAAGUCUGACCCAGCCAUGCCGCGUGCAGGAUGACGGCCCUAUGGGUUGUAAACUGCUUUUUUACGGGAAGAAUAGGCACUACGUGUAGUGAUUUGACGGUACCGUACGAAUAAGCACCGGCUAACUCCGUGCCAGCAGCCGCGGUAAUACGGAGGGUGCAGGCGUUAUCCGGAUUUAUUGGGUUUAAAGGGUGCGUAGGCGGGCUAAUAAGUCAGUGGUGAAAUCUCAUGGCUCAACCAUGAAAUUGCCAUUGAAACUGUUAGUCUUGAGUAUAGUUGAGGUAGGCGGAAUGUGUCAUGUAGCGGUGAAAUGCUUAGAUAUGACCCAGAACUCCGAUUGCGUAGGCAGCUUACUAAACUAUUACUGACGCUGAUGCACGAAAGCGUGGGUAGCGAACAGGAUUAGAUACCCUGGUAGUCCACGCCGUAAACGAUGAUUACUCGCUGUGUGCGAUAUAUUGUACGCGGCUGAGCGAAAGCAUUAAGUAAUCCACCUGGGGAGUACGGUCGCAAGAUUGAAACUCAAAGGAAUUGACGGGGGCCCGCACAAGCGGAGGAACAUGUGGUUUAAUUCGAUGAUACGCGAGGAACCUUACCUGGGCUUAAAUGUAGAGUGCUUUUCACCGAAAGGUGAUUUUCCUUCGGGACGCUUUACAAGGUGCUGCAUGGUUGUCGUCAGCUCGUGCCGUGAGGUGUCGGGUUAAGUCCCAUAACGAGCGCAACCCCUAUCGUUAGUUGCCAUCGGGUCAUGCCGGGGACUCUAACGAGACUGCCAGUGUAAACUGUGAGGAAGGUGGGGAUGACGUCAAAUCAGCACGGCCCUUAUGCCCAGGGCUACACACGUGUUACAAUGGCCGGUACAGAGGGCAGCUACACAGCGAUGUGAUGCCAAUCCCCAAAGCCGGUCUCAGUUCGGAUCGGAGUCUGCAACUCGACUCCGUGAAGUUGGAUUCGCUAGUAAUCGUAUAUCAGCAAUGAUACGGUGAAUACGUUCCCGGGCCUUGUACACACCGCCCGUCAAGCCAUGGAAGCUGGGGGUACCUGAAGUCUGUAACCGUAAGGAGCGGCCUAG